rnacentral:lncRNA from 1 species
GCCAGCUGUGAGAAGUCAGCUCACUAGUGCCCUGGAGGGUUGUGACUACACUGUGCCAACCAUAAGAUACUCUGUCUCAGUUUGUGUAUGCAACUUCUGU